GUGCUUCAUCACACUCGAAAACGAUCUUUGGCGUGAAUGGCCGCUUGAACACGUCCGCGUGGAUUCUCUGCCUGGUAACACUGAAGUCUAAUCGGAAUCGGCGUCCGGGAGAGAGUGUUACGGCGCCAUCGCGUUCCUUUGGGAUCGACUGCAGUGGUUGUAACGAUGGGAGGUGAGCAAAGCAGUGAGAGGAAAACUGAGGAGAAACAUGAGGCGACUGUGGAGAUCCAUCAGGACUGUAGCGACGGUCAGAGCUCGGUGCCGGCGGCUGCUGAGGAAAACCCUGGAGAGUUGCCCCAGCGUGUGAUCGGAAACAGGAAGGUGGACGACAUGCGUUUCAUGAUCGUGUGCACCAACUGGUACUGAAGCUGCCGACGGUGAACGUGAAGUGAACAAGAUGCAGGUCCAACACUGCUCCAAUCCGGCACACAGUCGAUGAGCGGUGCUGUCUUUGAUGCUGCUGGACCAUUGCAUGUUUUCCACCUCGACAAGUGGAAACACAAAUCUUCUGCGUUGAAUGAAGCAGUGAAACGUUGUCGCUGCGGUAUGAUUUAUGCGCUUGACAUUUUUGAGCUGUGAAAUUCAGGUGUUGUUGAAAUUGCUGCAAAGGAUGAAAACAUGUAAAUGUUUUUUUUAAACAAGUGAGCUUUUGUAUGAAAUUCCUAAUAAUCUUACCAUAAUGAUUGUAGCAUAAUGUGUGUUCUUGAGCUCAUGGCAAAACUCUAUUGUACUUGUAUUAAUGGUAAUUGUCCACCAGGUGGAGCUAUUGAUCCAUUACAAGAAUCUUGUUUGGAACCUGUUGCUUAUAGUAGCAAGAUGUGGCAAUCAACCAGAUCUAGGCUUUGGUGCUCACCAGGUCUAGGCGUUCAUAGUCACCACAGCUAGGCUUUAGUGGGCACAAGAAUUAGACUGUGGUGACCACCAACCCUCAGCUUUGAUGACUACUAGACCUAGGCUUUUGGGGGCCACCAGACCUAGGCCGUGGUGGCUAGCAGACCAAGACUUGGUAAACCUAGGGUUGAAGACGAAAAAACUGAUUAUCUUUUUUUCGUGCUACAUAAUGUCAACCACACCCGCUCAUAUUUUCCAUCAUCAGGUGAUAAGAUUAUUUCCUGCAACAAGCUCAGACAUGUCCAGUAGGUAGCAGAUAGGCCAAUGGUAUGUUAUAUAAGUACAACAAAGUUAGGUUUUGCAUUGAUCUGGUGCAUUAAAUUUGUACAACAUUGAAUAAAUUUAUCCUCAUUAUAUGCCCUUUUAAUUUGGUGACUUGUGGGGAUGACAGCAUGUGUUUUUGAGUUAUUACGUUAACAACCUGAUGAUGGUGAAUUGUUACCGAUCACUCACCAUAUUUUACAGGGUAUAUGCCUAAGAUUAGCCAAAGCAUAGCAGCAAUAAUAAUAACUUUCUCAUUGUGUGUGUAAAAUACAGUUGUGCCUCUUCAUAAACUGAUGUUACUGAACAGGGGGUUGAACAUAUUGACGAGGUGCUUAAAUCCCUGAAGAAGCAUUUCGUUUAUCUGCACGCAUCUGCUGGCUUUAUGAGUCAUGUUAUCACACAGACGCUCCGUCACUUUAUGACCCUGCAAAAUUUCUUUUAAUAACAGAGAUAUUUAAGAUACGCUUCGUCCACAUUCCGUAAUCCUCAGCGAAACAAGCGUAAGAAAGUGGUGUUAGAAAAUAUACACCUGGAGUUACACACUUUGAACAGUAAAAGUGAAAAGUUAAAAACAUGUUCAAAGAGAGCGAUGCCCUCUGGUGGUUCAGUUAUGGCGAAUGCUGAGAAUAAAUUCAGUUUAAAAAAGGAAGACUGUUGGGGAAAAUGUCAGUAUAAUAAAUGCAUUAAAACUUAUUUACAUUUAACAAUAGCAGACUUUAAAGCUACAGUGUAAAGCUAAGAUGUAGUAUCAUCUAGUGGUGAGGUUGCAGGUUGCAUUAUGUCAUCAUCACAAUUUUGUUUCUUCUUCAUGUUUUCACUUUUUUGCAGUUGGGAUUAAUGCUACUUUACCUUCUCUUCAGAUAAGCAAUAUGUAUAAUCCUCUAUCUCACAAAAACGAGGGUACGCAAACUUGUUGGCUUUUUGCUAGCAAGGGGUAGCGUGUAUAGGUGGCAUCACUGAUUUCUUUCUUCUUUACUUCAGUAUUCUAGGCUACUGUAUCAACAUGGCAGCCCCCAAAGAAGGGGCCCAACCCCAUGGAGAUUAUAUGAAGGGUUCUUUCUGCAGUAAGCUUUUAAAAACACAUCAAUUCAUUGUUGCAGGUCGUUACACCAAUGAACAAAUGAUUAUGAAUGCUAUAUCCCAUUUAUGCUAAUAAGUGCCCCUAAAAUCCUACACGCUGUAGCUUUAACUCACAGUGAGGCUCAACUGUGUUCAGAAUCUGUACAAAUUAAAUAUAUGAAUUUAUACAUAAUAUGGAAAUUUAUAUAUAUAUGUGUGUGUGUGUGUGGGUGUGCAUUUCAUUUUUAUAUGUAACAUUUCAUUUUCACAUUAUGUUAAAUACAUUCAAUAAUUUGUACAGUCUACAAAUUACUGAAUGCAUUAAUUUAUAAUAAAAAUUAAAUGUAAUGAGUAUAUACAUAAAUUUCUACAUUGAAUGAUUUGUAAAAAUCCAGAGAUCCAUGAAUAAACACAGUUAACUUUUGUUAGUUAAUUGGCAUUAAUGUAUUAACCUUGAUACCUGGCAUCCACAGACUGGGGCGUCUUUUUUUUUUAUAUAUAACUUAAUUCCCACUGUAGCUGUCUGUGCACGUUAAAUGAUGUCCUUUAAUGUGUCCUUGUUGUCAAGUGUUAGUAAGAUUUUUAUUGUCAUUUUAUUUUAAACACGUGAAGGUUGUUGUGACAGAAUUCAUCCAAUCAACGAGCAGGAACAUGUUAAACAAUGAAGUUUUUACUUUUAUUGACAUCUCAUUUUUAACAAGACAUUGUGUUUCUAUAGAACGUGUGUGGGACAGUAAAAACAAACAUUCCAGUUGUCAUUUUAAACAAAUCUUUGUGUCAUUACACUUAAAACUGGAAUUAGUGAAAACCUUUAAGUUACCAACAUAAACAUGCCUAUUAAAUAAGCAUUUUUAAUUAUUGAAAAAAAGAAAACCGUACAAGUGUGGGGGGAAAAAAACAACUUGCAUUUGAAUUAAAGGCAAAAACAAAAAUUCAAAAAGGUUUGUUGUCUUAUUUACAUAAACUGAUAUUUGACUCGUGGGAAUCAACAACAAAAUGGCACGCAGAAAGACGUGAGCCAAGGUCAAAUUUUUUUCUUUUGUAGUCAACCCAUUUAUUCAAAAAACCCAAAACCAAACAAAAACGUAAUCCGUAUUUACAGAAAAUCUUUUUUUUAAUAAGAAAAACAAACCAAAUCUCUCUUAAAGCUAUAGCUGAUUAAAAUCUCUCUACAAGUAGCUGUGAGAUUAUCCAAACAGCAAAUCUUAUUUCAAAAAGUCUGCCCAGACUUCAUUUGAUAUGUUUUAUUCACUGACAUACAGUAUGUAUACAUUUAUUUAUUUUUAAGAAAAGAGAAUGUUAUAAAUUAAAGGCAACAACAGGCAACUUAAAGGAAGACUUAGCCUCAUGAAGCCACACGCCAAACUCGAUAGCGUCUGCCGGGGGGGGCAUCCUCAAUAUGGAAAAUCUGAAAAAUGUGUAUUUAUGAAAACACGAGUUUCAUGUGUCAGGUGGGAAUUCCAAAGGUGGCGUUUGGUUGGAAUACAAACCAGUAGACGUUACAUUGAAUAAAAAAUGGUUUAACAUCUGUAAAUUUGGAAAGUUUCUUAAAUAAAUGUUGAUCAUGAACUUGGCUGAGUUUAGUGAAAUAACUGCAGGUAAAUAUACUUUAUUUUGGGCCCUAUCUUGACAAUCUAUGGCACACGGUCUAAAGUGCAUAGCAACAAGUGCAGCCAGGGCGUGUCCAGCAACACUUUACUAUUUACACGGGUUGCAAUCUGAGCACAAAGUACGACGCAACACAAAAAGGGGCCAUAUUUUGUGUGAUAGAUGAAAUAAACCAAUCAGCCUGCCAUCUGUUACACUGCUUUUAUGAUGAUUGCUCCACCAGGCAUGUUGCUAUUUACACAGAGGACUCAGAAUUGAGAGGUUUUCUGGCUAUGAAAUGAAUCUUUGCAGAAGGGGACCAUUUACUGGAGCAAAAAUUGUCCACCACGGCUCCCUGAGGUGAUGCAUUUGAACACCUCAUCAACACAACACUUCCUCCUCACUCUCUGAUCAGCACAGAUGGCUAAGUCCUGAUUCACGGGGAUCAUUCAAACUCCGUGAUAAAUUUAAACCAGAUUUUUGCACUGAUGGCGCAAUGGCUUUUGCCACAUGAUAGCAAUGACCGGGCCCUGAACUUGUUAAUGCAAUUAUACUCUGUCAUUAGUUGGAAACUACCAAUGACACUUGUAACCAGUGUCAGGUAGGGCCAGUUAGCCUUCAUAUAGCCAUGGUAGUUUGCGUUUUUAUAGUGGAUUUUAAUAAUGCAACUUCACAAAGUAUGUGUGACACUGGUU